CGAGUCGGCUGGGCGGUCGCGUCGGUGCCCUUCGGGGCGCCGCCGAGGAACGUCCGGACUCCGCAGAGCAGGGUGGUUGUUAACGGCAACCCGGGGCGACCCGCGGGACAGUGCCACAGAGAACAGACCGCCGGCCCCACCAGGCCGGUAAGGGUGAAACGGUGAGGUAAGAGCUCACCAGCACCCCGGGCGACCGGGGUGGCUAGGUAAACCCCACCCGGAGCAAGGCCAAGCAAGGCCGGCGCCGCGAGGCCCCGGCCGGCGCAGGCGUUCGAGGGCUGCUCGCCCGAGCCUGCGGGUAGGCCGCAAGAGCCUGCCGGCAACGGCAGGCCGAGAUGGAUGGCCGCCACCAGCGUCUUCGCUGGCUACAGAAUCCGGCGUACAGGCCGACUCGUCCG
rnacentral:RNase_P_RNA from 1 species